rnacentral:tRNA from 1 species
ACUAUUUUGGCAGAUGAAGUGCAGUAGAUUUAGAAUCUACUAAUAUGUUAAAAAUCAUAUAUAGUA